AUUGAACGCUGGCGGCAGGCCUAACACAUGCAAGUCGAACGAGUGGCGGACGGGUGAGUAAUGUCUGGGAAACUGCCCGAUGGAGGGGGAUAACUACUGGAAACGGUAGCUAAUACCGCAUACCAUCGGAUGUGCCCAGAUGGGAUUAGCUUGUAGGUGAGGUAACGGCUCACCUAGGCGACGAUCCCUAGCUGGUCUGAGAGGAUGACCAGCGAGAUGGGAACGGAGACAAGGUCCAGACGUCGAGGGGAGGCAGCAGUGGGUAAAAUUGCACAAGGGGCGCAAGGCUGAGGCAGCCAGGACGAGGGUAUGAAGAAGGCCUUCGGGGUGUAAAGUACUUUCAGCGGGGAGGCGUGACACGCAGAAGAAGUACCGGCGAACUCCGUGCCAGCAGCCGCGGUAAUAC
rnacentral:rRNA from 1 species